UAGGGAAUCUUCGGCAAUGGACGGAAGUCUGACCGAGCAACGCCGCGUGAGUGAAGAAGGUUUUCGGAUCGUAAAGCUCUGUUGUUAGAGAAGAACGUUGGUAGGAGUGGAAAAUCUACCAAGUGACGGUAACUAACCAGAAAGGGACGGCUAACUACGUGCCAGCAGCCGCGGUAAUACGUAGGUCCCGAGCGUUGUCCGGAUUUAUUGGGCGUAAAGCGCGCGCAGGCGGUUCUUUAAGUCUGAAGUUAAAGGCAGUGGCUUAACCAUUGUACGCUGUGGAAACUGGAGGACUUGAGUGAAGAAGGGGAGAGUGGAAUUCCAUGUGUAGCGGUGAAAUGCGUAGAUAUAUGGAGGAACACCGGUGGGGAAAGCGGCUCUCUGGUAAGUAACUGACGCUGAGGCUCGAAAGCGUGGGGAGCAAACAGG
rnacentral:rRNA from 1 species